UACGUAGGGUGCGAGCGUUGUCCGGAAUUAUUGGGCGUAAAGAGCUCGUAGGCGGUGUGUCACGUCGGCCGUGAAAACCUGGGGCUUAACUCUGGGCGUGCGGUCGAUACGGGCAUCACUAGAGUUCGGCAGGGGAGACUGGAAUUCCUGGUGUAGCGGUGAAAUGCGCAGAUAUCGGGAGGAACACCGGUGGCGAAGGCGGUUCUCUGGGCCUGUACUGGACGCUGAGGAGCGAAGCGUGGGAGCAAACAGGAUUGAAGAACCCGU
rnacentral:rRNA from 1 species